rnacentral:rRNA from 1 species
CCAAUAGCGUAUAUUAAAGUUGCUGCAGUUAAAAAGCUCGUAGUUGAAUUUCGGGACCAAUAUGUCGGUCGUGCCUCGGUACGUACUGGCAUCGUUGGUUUCUCCCUUCUGAAGAACCAUGAUGUCAUUCAUUUGGUGUCGUGGGGAAUCAGGACUGUUACUUUGAAAAAAUUAGAGUGUUUAAAGCAGGCUCACGCUUGAAUACAUUAGCAUGGAAUAAUGAAAUAGGACGUUUGAUUCUAUUUUGUUGGUUUCUAGGAUCGACGUAAUGAUUAAUAGGGAUAGUUGGGGGCAUUAGUAUUCAAUUGUCAGAGGUGAAAUUCUUGGAUUUAUUGAAGACUAACUACUGCGAAAGCAUUUGCCAAGGAUGUUUUCAUUAAUCAAGAACGAAAGUUAGGGGAUCGAAGACGAUCAGAUACCGUCGUAGUCCUAACCAUAAACUAUGCCGACUAGGGGUCGGAUGAUGUUAAUUUUUUAAUGACUCAUUCGGCGCCUUACG